GCAGCAGCCGCGGUAAUACGGAGGGUGCAAGCGUUAAUCGGAAUUACUGGGCGUAAAGCGCACGCAGGCGGUCUGACAAGUCAGAUGUGAAAUCCCCGGGCUUAACCUGGGAACUGCAUUUGAAACUGUCAGGCUGGAGUCUUGUAGAGGGGGGUGGAAUUCCAGGUGUAGCGGUGAAAUGCGUAGAGAUCUGGAGGAAUACCGGUGGCGAAGGCGGCCCCCUGGACAAAGACUGACGCUCAGGUGCGAAAGCGUGGGGAGCAAACAGGAUUAGAUACCCGAGUAGUCCCUGUCUCUUAUAA
rnacentral:rRNA from 1 species